rnacentral:piRNA from 1 species
UNGAAGUGGCUCAUCACAGCUAUUAUUUGC